GAUGAACGCUGGCGGCGUGCCUAAUACAUGCAAGUCGAGCGAACAGACGAGGAGCUUGCUCCUCUGACGUUAGCGGCGGACGGGUGAGUAACACGUGGAUAACCUACCUAUAAGACUGGGAUAACUUCGGGAAACCGGAGCUAAUACCGGAUAAUAUAUUGAACCGCAUGGUUCAAUAGUGAAAGACGGUUUUGCUGUCACUUAUAGAUGGAUCCGCGCCGCAUCAGCUAGUUGGUAAGGUAACGGCUUACCAAGGCAACGAUGCGUAGCCGACCUGAGAGGGUGAUCGGCCACACUGGAACUGAGACACGGUCCAGACUCCUACGGGAGGCAGCAGUAGGGAAUCUUCCGCAAUGGGCGAAAGCUUGACGGAGCAACGCCGCGUGAGUGAUGAAGGUCUUCGGAUCGUAAAACUCUGUUAUUAGGGAAGAACAAAUGUAUAAGUAACUAUGCACGUCUUGACGGUACCUAAUCAGAAAGCCACGGCUAACUACGUG
rnacentral:rRNA from 1 species